rnacentral:rRNA from 1 species
GAUGAACGCUGGCGGCGUGCCUAAUACAUGCAAGUCGAGCGAACGGACGAGAAGCUUGCUUUUCUGAUGUUAGCGGCGGACGGGUGAGUAACACGUGGAUAACCUACCUAUAAGACUGGGAUAACUUCGGGAAACCGGAGCUAAUACCGGAUAAUAUUUUGAACCGCAUGGUUCAAAAGUGAAAGACGGUCUUGCUGUCACUUAUAGAUGGAUCCGCGCUGCAUUAGCUAGUUGGUAAGGUAACGGCUUACCAAGGCAACGAUGCAUAGCCGACCUGAGAGGGUGAUCGGCCACACUGGAACUGAGACACGGUCAAGACGCCUAAGGGAGGCAGCAGUAGGGAAUCUGCCGCAAUGGGCGAAAGCCUGACGGAGCAACGCCGCGUGAGUGAUGAAGGUCUUCGGAUCGUAAAACUCUGUUAUUAGGGAAGAACAUAUGUGUAAGUAACUGUGCACAUCUUGACGGUACCUAAUCAGAAAGCCACGGCUAACUACGUG